rnacentral:tRNA from 1 species
GAUUUUUAAUCUGUAGACGGAUAAUUUCCCCAAGGAAUUGCGUUGACUCUUUUCAACAAAUCA